CAGAUCCUGUCAGAAGAGUUAGCGCCUUACGUCAUUGCAGCAUUGCAAUGAAAGAGACGGAGGCACCGAUGUCGUUUCUUCAUAGGUGUGGGCCACCUCGCCUCAAGGAUUAUCGGAGGAGUUGGCUGUAGAUUGAGGAAUCAGCUUCAGGGGUAUGACGCAGGGUAUGAUGCCGUUCGUGAAGACAUGGGUCCUCGUGAUUCGGGGCAGGGGUAAGGUUCCAGGUUUGUGUGCGCUAACGAAUUUGACACCGAGGGUGCGCUGCGACGGUAGCGACGGAGGAGUUGUGCAGAGUUCUGUGAGGUCCCUGCAACGCCCCCCCUGCUAGUGGAAUUCGAGUCUGUGCUGUUCCGUGAAGCGUUGUGCGAGUUUUUCAGUCCCGGGAUCCACAAGUUUUUCAGUUGGGUUGCGGUUUUCAUUCUUAGAAGAAAAGGGCUGGAUAUCAAAAUGGAGAGAUUACUUGUGGGAGCAGUUGUGGAAGUAGUUGGGCGACAUGUUGCUGGAGAUGAGAUCAGCUGCGAAGGUCCUGGCCUCGAGGGCGAAUGCCUUGACAAAGCAGCCGCGACGAGACUGAAGACCGUGGCGAUUAUAGUGAUAUUCUUGACGAGUUUCCUAGGCUUCUACAUUCCUGUCUCCAGCAGGCGGUUUCGUUUCCUCAACUUGAGAGGGAACCCGUUCUGGAUGAUGAAAGUAUUUGCUGGGGGAGUGAUCUUGGCAACUGCCUUCAUUCACAUGCUACCAACUGCGCAGAACGAUUUCGCAAGCCCAUGUCUACCUCAGAAUCCUAGGGGGGAAAUUCCCGUGGGGAGGAUUUAUUGCCAUGUUAGGUGCACUAGGGACACUGGUAGUAGAUUUCGCCGCAACAACGUUCCAUAUGGAUCAUCUCAAUCAUCAUCCUAUCAAAUCGGAGACGGAGAAAGUCGAUGAUAUGACGGGCAAGAAGGGGGCGCUUGGUGAAACUCACGUCGAUGACGUUAAUGACAGCAUGUUCUUGCAUGCCAGGCAUCUUGUUACAGCUCAAGUGUUCGAGCUUGGUGUUGCGGCUCACUCCAUUACUGUUGGAAUUUCAGUGGGAGUGUCAAAUAGCCCCUGCACUAUAAAACCUGUGUUUGCCGCCCUCACUUUCCAUCAGUUCUUCGAAGGCGUUGCCCUGGGAGGAUGCGUCGCUAAGGUACUCACAAUAAAUUUUGCAAACCGCAUCUAAUCUUCCCAAACAUUGACAUCUAUCAUAGGCAAACCUGAAUUGUAUGCCACGAGUCAUGCACUGUUCCUUUCUCCAUUGUUACUAAAUCCCACUUCCAACCCUUGUUUUUUAUUUAUACUACCGCCUUCAUGGGCUUCGGCUUUGCAAUCACGACUUCGUUGGGCAUUGCAAUAGGGCUGGGUAUCACAGCAUCUUACAAUGAGAACAGUGCAACUUCUUUGAUCUUCACGGGUAUGUUUGACGCCAUAUCAGCUGGCAUCCUGGCUUAUAUGGCGUUGGUGGACUUCAUCGCAGCUGAUUUUCUCAGCAAACGAAUGCAGAGCAGCAAACAACUGCAAGUCUAUGGUUUUGUUUUUCUCUUCUUCGGUGUCGGUGCCAUGUCUAGCAUUGGCUUGUGGGCUUGAUUAGGCUCUCUCUCCACUAGUCUUUUUAACUUUUUGUGUUGGAAUUUGCCGAUUUGAAAAGCCCCCUUUUUUUUUGAAUAAAAAAAAACAUGCUAAAGAAGUUUUAUAGAUGCUGAUUUAAUCUGCAGGAGCCCUAUGUAGCUAUAGUAUUUAUUUUAAGAAGUUGUUUUUCAUUUUUAAAGAAGCCAAAUUUGAAACA